GCUGGCGGCGUGCCUAAUACAUGCAAGUCGAACGGGAAGGCUGUUUUCGGAUAGCCGGAGAGUGGCGCACGGGUGAGUAACACAUGGCUGACCUGCCCUUCAGACGAGGACAACCGGUGGAAACGCUGGCUAAUACUCGAUACGCUCGUGGGAGUUAGAGACCCGUGAGGAAAGCGAUGAGUGCUGAAGGAGGGGGCUGUGGCCCAUCAUCUAGUUGGUAGGGUAACGGCCUACCAAGGCGAGGACGGGUAGGGGGCCUGAGAGGGUGAUCCCCCACACGGGUACUGAGACACGGACCCGACUCCUACGGGAGGCAGCAGUAAGGGAUAUUGCGCAAUGGGCGAAAGCCUGACGCAGCAACGCCGCGUGCGGGAUGACGGCCUUCGGGUUGUAAACCGCUUUUCAGGGUGAAGAGGAAGGACGGUAGCCCUGGAAUCA
rnacentral:rRNA from 1 species